CGUUGCACGAACGCUAAGUCCGAAUAACUGGAAAAGUAAAAGUUGUGAGCGCUGAAUUCGUGGCAAGCUCAUUAUGCUCAUUUUAUUCGCCAAAAGAAAGUGAACAAGAGUGUGUCCGCAAGUAUUUGAACUGGUAGUGACUAUCAGGGACUAAAUCAGCGAGUUUACUUGAAUAUACAAAAUUUAAUCAAACAUCCACAGAUAGAAUGACAGAAGGCCGAUCAACCUGGAUUCUUUCACUUGCGACUCUUGCUACCGUCUGUGUGGAAGCUAAACCCCAAAAAGUUACGCCAAGAGUAAACUACGACUUCACACGAUACACAGCGAGGCCCAUCAACAAAGAAUACUGCAGGAGCUUUGUUUGCGAAUUCGAUAUAUGCCCGGGUGGCUGCGUUUGUCCCACAGGAUUCAAAAGAAUUUUCACCUUUGACAUCCUUCACUGUGAGCUGGCGUGAAUGUAUGCGUGUGCACUAAUCAGUUGAGGUGUUGGUGACAAUUGGCGUAUGUCCUUGAGUUAAUAAGGCAUCGGUUAUGAUGUCAUUCAGAGAUGGCCACAAUUGGCAAUAAAGAUUACCGAUGACCAUUGUCCGUGCUGGCAGUUAUCAGUGUACAG